UGCAAGUCGAACGGAGAAUUUAUUUCGGUAAAUUCUUAGUGGCGAACGGGUGAGUAACGCGUAGGCAACCUGCCCUUUGGAUGGGGACAACAUUCCGAAAGGAGUGCUAAUACCGAAUGUGAUCCAUUUCUCGCAUGAGAGAUGGAUGAAAGAUGGCCUCUAUUUAUAAGCUAUCGCCAAAGGAUGGGCCUGCGUCUGAUUAGUUAGUUGGUGGGGUAACGGCUCACCAAGACGAUGAUCAGUAGCCGGUCUGAGAGGAUGAACGGCCACAUUGGGACUGAGACACGGCCCAAACUCCUACGGGAGGCAGCAGUGGGGAAUCUUCCGCAAUGGACGAAAGUCUGACGGAGCAACGCCGCGUGAGUGAUGAAGGUUUUCGGACUGUAAAACUCUGUUGUCAGGGACGAAGGUGCGAUCUGCGAAUAGUUGAUCGUAUUGACGGUACCUGACGAGGAAGCCACGGCUAACUACGUGCCAGCAGCCGCGGUAAUACGUAGGUGGCAAGCGUUGUCCGGAAUUAUUGGGCGUAAAGAGCAUGUAGGUGGGCUUUUAAGUCCGAUGUGAAAAUGCGGGGCUCAACCCCGUAUGGCAUUGGAUACUGGAAGUCUUGAGUG
rnacentral:rRNA from 1 species